AUUGAACGCUGGCGGCAGGCCUAACACAUGCAAGUCGAGCGGAUGAAGGGAGCUUGCUCCCUGAUUUAGCGGCGGACGGGUGAGUAAUGCCUAGGAAUCUGCCUGGUAGUGGGGGACAACGUUUCGAAAGGAACGCUAAUACCGCAUACGUCCUACGGGAGAAAGUGGGGGAUCUUCGGACCUCACGCUAUCAGAUGAGCCUAGGUCGGAUUAGCUAGUUGGUGAGGUAAAGGCUCACCAAGGCGACGAUCCGUAACUGGUCUGAGAGGAUGAUCAGUCACACUGGAACUGAGACACGGUCCAGACUCCUACGGGAGGCAGCAGUGGGGAAUAUUGGACAAUGGGCGAAAGCCUGAUCCAGCCAUGCCGCGUGUGUGAAGAAGGUCUUCGGAUUGUAAAGCACUUUAAGUUGGGAGGAAGGGCAGUAAGUUAAUACCUUGCUGUUUUGACGUUGCCAACAGAAUAAGCACCGGCUAACUUCGUGCCAGCCGCCGCCGUAACAC
rnacentral:rRNA from 1 species